GCGCAGUGCACCAUGGGCUUUAGCUCAACUGGCUGCUUCCUGAGAGAGACAGGUCAAAGCAGCUGGUGUGACUGAUCAUCAUCAGUGACGGUUGUUUUCCCAUCUCCAGCAACAGUUAAUUACCUGUGAGUGCAGCUCAUAAGAUGCUUGACACCAACCACGAUGAUGCAGCUUGAUUGACUGAAAUCCAAUCUAACACCUUCAACAUUCAUUCCCUCCGCAACUGUUACAUAGUGGCAACAGUUUGUACUGUCUACAGGAUGCUGUGCAACAACUCACCAUCAACUACUUCCUAAUGGCACUGUAAGGUACUUAUACCAAAUGUACUUCAACUUUCCAAAAGAGCAGUUAUGGAUGGACAGUAAAUGCUGGUCCAGUCACUGAUGCUCACAUCUCACGAAAGAAUUUUAAAAAUCCUCGUGCUUACCAUUUUAUGGGUAACUUUAACACAUCUUUCUUUGAUUAAUACGAUCUUGAUUCCUUUCAUUAAUAUUAUUGGAAGAUUUUCUGUACUGGUUAUUUAGCAUUCAAGGAAUGUAUUUUUGUUGUAAACUCUGUAUUAGUUCUUUAAAUGUUAGCCAUUGCCUGUCUGCCAUCAUGUCUUUUAAUGCAAUUUUCCAAUAAUACCAUAGCCAAAUUUUUCUCUGUAAAGAUCUUUGUCUUUUGAGUUUUUCUAAAAUUGUGGUCUGAAGUGAGGAAGAAUUAUUUUAAAACCCGUGUUUUAAAGGGUUGCUGCAUUUUGAAAAGUAAGUAACCCAACACUCAUGACAAACAUAGUUUAAACAGUUUUUUGGACAGACAAUAACUGAAGUUAUUAUGGAAGAAUCAGAAUCAAGGGGAUUUGUAUAGAUGCAACUGUGUGGCAACGGAAGUUGUUUGGUGUCUAUGGACUAGUGCCAUUUGCCUGCUAAUGGCAGAUGGUAACUGAACAACUUGGUGUUGGGCACAAGAUAGAGAGAAGUGUUUUGAUGUCCAUCAGCACAGAAGCUGUUUCUCUGUUCUCUGCAGUCAAAACCUAUUUUAAAUCUGAAGAACACCAGUUCAUCUUUCCUUCAGUUGUGACUUUUAACUGAUAAAUCAGCAACCUUGUGUCUCUUGCGAACUAGUGGAAGCAUCUGGAGAAAGAUGACUGAAAAGCAAUAUUCUGACCAGUAUCGGAAUCAUAAGGAACAUCUCAGCAAGGCACUGAACAGCCUCACAGCUGUCCUUCAACCACAGUUCAUCUUUCCUGGUAUGUGUGUGUGACUCGAAUGUGAAUAUUUCAGAGGAUUAAAGUUUUUAAUUUGUGGCGUCCUAUACCAGUGGUCUACUAUUGUUUACCUGGUGUUAGAGUUUAAUUACUUGUAAUAAAUGGUCAUUUAUAAGCACAGAAACCUGGUGUGUGCUUUCUAUCAACCUGGAUCUGAAGAUCAGGUAAAUUUGGAAUUUUGUGUACUUACUUUAAAACCUUCAACUUUUAUGAUGACUCAUGUUGUGAAUUUACGUGGAUUGGUGGACUGUAACUUUUGGAGUGCAAUUGGUAACUAGCUUAAUCUAACCUUGCUGCCGACAGAGUGAACAAUCCCUUAAUAAA